rnacentral:lncRNA from 1 species
AACCAUCUUGUUUGCAAGAAAAUACAAUUUCUCUAUUCCAUGUGAAAUCUCUGUCUUCCUUUUAGGGAGUGCCAGGUUCUUCAUACAGCACUUAUUCUGGUAACCAGGGAGGACCUUCCUUCUAUCCUGGUGGAUCUUACGGACAGAGAGGGUCUUCUGUCUAUGACAGCAGCAGUGAAUCCUAUGGUCAGGUAUAUACUUUUUUUUCCUCUUGAAUUAAGGGUGCUGAGGGCCAGUAGCCUGGUUC